GAGAAAGACUAUAAGAACUGCUAAUUCUUAGCACCACACAUAGCAUAUGUGGCUUUUUCA
rnacentral:tRNA from 2 species